rnacentral:rRNA from 1 species
GACGAACGCUGGCGGCGUGCCUAAUACAUGCAAGUAGAACGCUGAAGGAGGAGCUUGCUCUUCUGGAUGAGUUGCGAACGGGUGAGUAACGCGUAGGUAACCCGCCUGGUAGCGGGGGAUAACUAUUGGAAACGAUAGCUAAUACCGCAUAAGAGUAGAUGUUGCAUGACAUUUGCUUAAAAGGUGCAAUUGCAUCACUACCAGAUGGACCUGCGUUGUAUUAGCUAGUUGGUGAGGUAACGGCUCACCAAGGCGACGAUACAUAGCCGACCUGAGAGGGUGAUCGGCCACACUGGGACUGAGACACGGCCCAGACUCCUACGGGAGGCAGCAGUAGGGAAUCUUCGGCAAUGGACGGAAGUCUGACCGAGCAACGCCGCGUGAGUGAAGAAGGUUUUCGGAUCGUAAAGCUCUGUUGUAAGAGAAGAACGAGUGUGAGAGNGGAAAGUUCACACNG